rnacentral:lncRNA from 1 species
GAAUUCUCCUAUAUUCUUAUAAGUACAUAUAUGCAUACAUUCUCAAAAUAUUUGAUGUUUUCACAUGAGAUAUUAGUUAAUUUCAAUUUUGGAAGAAUUGAUGUGUAUGUACUUUUCAAUAAAACCUUAUUAGCCAAAAAUAUUUUGAAUUUAUUUGAAUAUUUGCUUUUAUUUGCCUUAGUCUCUUUAAAUUCUAGUGCAAAUUUGAGUCGUAUUUCAUAUAUGCUUAUUGUCAUUGAUCUGUGAAAGGUCUCUUUCCCUCCUUAUUCUUCAUCUUCAUUCCCAUUUCCUUCCCCAUGGGUGCUUAUUUAGGUUAUUUGUCUAGAGACAUUUGUGUAUUGGAAUUUAUUGUAUUGAGUCAUUUCAUCACAUUCAUGAUAAUCAGGUCUUCUUUUUCAUUUAUUUAUAAUAGAGGUUUAAAUUUUUCUUCCCAAAAUUUUGAGGUUUUUUUAAUUCUGUUAGUUUAUAGACAUUGUACAGGACUAGGUGCCAUUUUGAAUCUUUUUU